rnacentral:rRNA from 1 species
AGAGUUUGAUCCUGGCUCAGGACGAACGCUGGCGGCGUGCCUAACACAUGCAAGUCGAGCGAUGAAAUCCUUCGGGAUGGAUUAGCGGCGGACGGGUGAGUAACACGUGGGUAACCUACCUCAAAGAGGGGGAUAGCCUCCCGAAAGGGAGAUUAAUACCGCAUAACAUUAGUCUUUCGCAUGAAGAACUAAUUAAAGGAGUAAUCCGCUUUGAGAUGGACCCGCGGCGCAUUAGCUAGUUGGUGAGGUAACAGCUCACCAAGGCGACGAUGCGUAGCCGACCUGAGAGGGUGAUCGGCCACAUUGGAACUGAGAUACGGUCCAGACUCCUACGGGAGGCAGCAGUGGGGAAUAUUGCACAAUGGGCGAAAGCCUGAUGCAGCAACGCCGCGUGAGUGAUGAAGGCCUUCGGGUUGUAAAGCUCUGUCUU